GAAAAACUAGUUAAAAAAUAACAUAAGAUUGUCAGUCUUAAAUUACCAAACUGUGUUUUUUA
rnacentral:tRNA from 1 species